CGUCUGUCGUGCCAUCUCCGUGCUCGAAAGCAUCGUCACGGCCGUCGUCACAAGUAGCGCCGCCUUCCUCACGGUAUCCUUCCCUCUCAUGAAAUUGCGUUGCAGAAUCUCUUAUCCACUCUGCAAUAACGACCAAGUGUGAUGAACAUGAAUCAAAUGGCUUCUUUAACUUGUUCAUUGUCUUCAUCCUUCUCAACAAAGCUUCCUCUUCAUUCCUCAACACCUCUAAAAAGAACAAGAAGAAGAAGCAACCACGAUUUUCUAAGAAUGGUGACUCGUUCCUAUCUCGAUGACAGUUCAGCACUUCUCCGAGCAGCUCAAUACACUGAAUUUAUCUUCAAGAGGACUCACUGGACACAUAGCAGUUUAUAUCUCCAAGCUUAUUGAGUUAGAGUCCUUGGAUUUAUCAAAUAAUAGCUUAAUUGGGGAGAUACC